rnacentral:rRNA from 1 species
GGACCCGCACAAGCGGUGGAGCAUGUGGUUUAAUUCGAAGCAACGCGAAGAACCUUACCAGCUCUUGACAUCUUCUGACAGCUCUAGAGAUAGAGUGUUCCCUUCGGGGACAGAAUGACAGGUGGUGCAUGGUUGUCGUCAGCUCGUGUCGUGAGAUGUUGGGUUAAGUCCCGUAACGAGCGCAACCCUUGUUGUCAGUUGCCAGCAUUUAGUUGGGCACUCUGGCGAGACUGCCGGUGACAAACCGGAGGAAGGUGGGGAUGACGUCAAAUCAGCAUGCCCCUUAUGAGCUGGGCUACACACGUGCUACAAUGGAUGGUACAGCGAGUCGCUAAACCGCGAGGUCAAGCAAAUCUCCUAAAGCCAUUCUCAGUCCGGAUUGCAGGCUGCAACUCGCCUGCAUGAAGCCGGAAUCGCUAGUAAUCGUGGAUCAGAACGCCACGGUGAAUACGUUCCCGGGUCUU